CCCGGCCUUGAAAGGCCGGGCUAUUGUCAGCUGUCCCUCCGGGACA
rnacentral:sRNA from 1 species